rnacentral:rRNA from 1 species
GACGAACGCUGGCGGCGUGCUUAACACAUGCAAGUCGAACGGAAAGGCCCUGCUUUUGUGGGGUGCUCGAGUGGCGAACGGGUGAGUAACACGUGAGUAACCUGCCCUUGACUUUGGGAUAACUUCAGGAAACUGGGGCUAAUACCGGAUAGGAGCUCCUGCUGCAUGGUGGGGGUUGGAAAGUUUCGGCGGUUGGGGAUGGACUCGCGGCUUAUCAGCUUGUUGGUGGGGUAGUGGCUUACCAAGGCUUUGACGGGUAGCCGGCCUGAGAGGGUGACCGGCCACAUUGGGACUGAGAUACGGAGCAGACUCCUACGGGAGGCAGCAGUGGGGAAUAUUGCACAAUGGGCGGAAGCCUGAUGCAGCAACGCCGCGUGCGGGAUGACGGCCUUCGGGGUGUAAACCGCUUUCGCCUGUGACGAAGCGUGAGUGACGGUAAUGGGUAAAGAAGCACCGGCUAACUACGUG